CGACUUCCCUUACGAUCUCCGAAGUUAAGCAAGGUCGAGCCUGGUCAGUACAUAGAUGAGUGACCGCUUACGAAUACGAGGUGUUGUAA